GAAAGUUCUUAUGGAGCAUGGGUGAAGCUCUGGUUCGGGUAGCAAACCAAACUGGCUUAAGGGUUUAUGAUACUACAGGUAAUAUUGAUGAUGUUCAAGUUCUACCUGUUCCCUUCACCAGCUAAUUGCUUGACUCCAUUGAUCACUACCAUGAAAGUGCCUCAAGGAAUUCUGCUUCCAAAGACGCAAUAAUCUUCGUGCUUUAUAACUCUAUGCCAUGCGGCUGUUAUUCUCAAGAGAUCAUUAAUUUUCCU